rnacentral:lncRNA from 1 species
AUCAAACACUCAUUUUCUCCCAAAGGCAGUCCGUGUUGGAUUGCUGCCUCCCUGGGACAGACCCAGGGACAAGGCACCAGCUUUACCACACACCCUUGUCACUGCACAAAACCUGCCAGGGAACAGGGUGUUAAAACUGCACUGCUUUCAAAAAAUGUAAAUCAGGAUCUGUUCUUGGAAAACUGUUCUUUCAUUCAGAAACCACCACAUUUCUCUUACAAUGAAUCACGAAUCCACCCAGCUAAAUCUGCAAGAACUGAUCUGGAAGAUGAUAGCAAAAUGAUAAUAUGGAGCAGCAUUUUGUAUAAUGUUGACAUCUCUCCCAUUACUGUUUUACAUACGCCAAUACUGAGCACUCCGAAGGAACGAACAAGUAUUGACCUGCAAACUGACACUGAUCCUUGGAGCAAUCUCCAAGUUUGCCACAUUUCAAUUUCAAAAUGCAUUUCAGCUAUAAUAUGAGUGAUUUAUCAUUUAGCAGUAGCUGUCAAAGUAACCUCCUAGAUAAAACAAAAACAUCUGGAACCAUAAACAGAGGAGAGCAGUAGCUGAAUUUUAAUCCAAAUCCGACAUGUUCACUUCAUUAGGAACAGGAAACAGCUAAUUAGUAAUUGAAUGUUCUGUGGUUUUAAGGAGGCUCAGACUCUCCAAACCGAGAUGAUUUAAUACGUAUUUUGGAUGUAAGCACAAAUAAAGAUCACAGGAGCAAGGGACUUAACAACUCCAGAGGGACGUUUGGGAACCUCCAAAGAAAGGACUAAAAUUAGUUUCAGGCCAUUGGCUGAUGAAAAUUCUUGUCUUAAACCUAGGGGGGAAUUACUAAAGCCUGGGGGGUGGUCAGCAGAAAUGCAAGGAUUGAGCACUGUGGGGUUUGUUUCUGCUUUGGGGUUUUUUUCCCCUUUUUCUCAUGAUCAUUAGAAAGCUGCAUAUGACUUCUUCGUAGUGGAGGCUGUUCUUUAUGUUCUUAUUAAAUUUUAAGUAUUAUUUUUUAAAUCAAGGUAAGAUGAGGACAUUGAGGGUACUCUGGGCUGACUAAACUUUGGAACGGAUUUCCGUAUUUCCUUCCAAUCCCCUUUAUUCAUCAAGGAAAGUUCAGUGGAGGUAUCUAGAAUACCUGUAAGAGAGAAAAGUAAAUGCCACAGCUCAAGCCCAGGGCAGCCAUCCAGGAGACAUCAUUGAUCAGUGAACAGAAAAUGCACAGUUAAAUAUUUCCUUUUUUAUAACACCUUCAAUUAUUCUCUAGAAAUUAAAAUACUUUUUUGUUGCUGUGCAAUAAACUGAAUUUCAUGGCUUUAACCACAUCACACAGCAACCACCUCUGAGGAAUUAACGUGUUGGGAGCAGCUGUGCCCCCACUUACACAGGAAAGACAAUGUGAUGUUGUCAAAUUAAUCUUUUCUGGAGAAUAUUCACCAUCUCUUCAGUGCAGCUGACUGCAAGCUACAGACCAUUUUAUAGCACUUUACUGUAUUAUAUAGCAAAGAUUUGAAUAAAUCUGUGUGCAAUAAAUGUAUUCUUUUAUCAGGUUUAUCCCUUAAUCAAAUAUUCAUUUAUGUGGGCUUCAUUCUAUUAAAAAACGAAAUUAUACAAAGGUGAGCAAAAGCAUAGAUUUACAGUAGUUUAAAGCCUAAUCUCAUUCUCUAGGGGUAAUACUGACAAUAUAAAAACGGUACAAAUGAUAUUCCCUAACACUAAAUAUGCUCAUGAGCCCCCUGUGCAUGUUACACUGCUUUACAGCCUACAGAGCAAUGCAUGACUGGCUUAAUAAGCAAGACAUUUAGAAAGGAAGGGUUUUUUUCCCCUUCACAAUGUGUAAGACAAGUAAAGAUCUCCGAGUGAGCCAGGGUCUGUGUUAAUAACUGGAACUUUCCCUCAGGAUGGCAUUCUCUUCUCUGAGUUGUUAGCCCAGGGUAGGUGCAGCUCUUGUACUCUUUUAGCAACAGUAUCAUCAUUUGUUUUUUUUCUUUUAAGGUUUUAAUGGCUGCAUAAAGGACAAAUCCAAAGGCAAUAAUCAUAAUCUCCAUAUUUAUUCACGUUUAAUUUUUUCUUCCCGGCCUAUUCCACAUCUCUGAAUUCCUGAAUCCUUUGUUUGUUAGAUCUCUGGUUUAAAUCGGGAAUUCAGCUUUUUUUCCCUAAACAACUUUAAAACAAACCUUCCAUGUGUACCCUCCCCAUGUGCACUGGCAAUGCUGGUGUGCAAACCCAGUCCAGGGAGAGGAGAAACACCCUGACAGAAUCCACACCUUGGGAUUGCCAGGGCUCUGUAGGACAGCGUGAGCUGAGAAAAAAUUCACUGGAGGAAGGAAAUGUGGGAUCUGCUAUGUAGUGAGAAAACAGAUAAAUAUGUUGUAUCAGUAACUGUAAAUUAUCCAUGGAACUUCUAAGGUACAACCCAGCACUACAGGCUGCAGAGAACACGGGUAGCAGGGAUGAAAUAAUAAACUGGAAACCCUGCUCUGCCAGCUGAGCUGGAGGAGGAGCUGAGAGAGCAGCUGGAGUAAGGUGAGCUGGAGCUGAGAGCUGGCUGUGUGGCCAGAGCAGGGGCAGGAGGGACGAGGGCAGCCCUGUGCCAGGCUGUGCCCUCUGGGAGCCUCGGCACAGCUCCUGCUCCAGGGCUGGUG